rnacentral:rRNA from 1 species
UACAGAGGCCCCAAGCAUUAUCCGGAAUCACUGGGCGUAAAGGGUGCGUAGGUGGCGUGAUUAGUCCUUCUUUAAAUCCUCCUUGCUCAACAGGGAGAAUCGGAGGGAAACGGUCAUGCUCGAGGAUGUACGAGGUAUGUGGAACUCAUGGUGUAGGGGUGAAAUCCGUUGAUAUCAUGGGGAACACCAAAUGCGAAGGCAGCAUACUGGGACAUUCCUGACACUGAGGCACGAAAGCGUGGGUAGCGAAAAGG